rnacentral:lncRNA from 1 species
GCGGCGCGGAACAAGCCCCGCAGGGCCUUCCCUGGCCGCCAACACACCACUCCCGGAGCUGAUUCCCUGUGCCCAGCUCCUUUCUUGGCGAGGCUUCAGUCCCUUAGUCGGCCUCAGUCUGUCCACCUUCGGAGAGGUCUGAGCGCUAGCCGGAGACAGGUAGACACCGAGAAGUGACAGAACCCAGAGGAAGCUGGAGAGAGGCAGCGAGGAAACGAGGGCCCGGCGGGCAGCAGCAUGAAAUUCAGCCCAGUGCCCUACCUGCUGCCUCUCCUGCCCGCGCUGGUCCUCAGCACCAGAUGGCCAAAUAGGAACGGCUCCGGUCUGCAGCACCCAGCAAGACCAACGCAGAAGGCAGGAGCCAAAAGGAAGCACUUCAUCUUUUUAUGAUUCCCUGGUGUUAUGAUCUCAAAAAUCACUUAAGCUUUACACAUUUGACCCUGA